AUUUAAUGAUAACUAGCAUUUCUUUUCGCAGGAAACACGCCAUAUGAGAAGGCGAAAGAUGCAACAGUUGAACUUGUCUUCAAUCAUCCCUUUUGGUAACUGUAUUCUUCAAGAGUUUGGUGACAUGCAUCAACAGAUCAGGAACUGCGCCUCCCACACU